UACGGAGGGUGCAAGCGUUAUCCGGAUUCACUGGGUUUAAAGGGUGCGUAGGCGGACAGGUAAGUCAGUGGUGAAAUCUCCGGGCUUAACCCGGAACUGCCGUUGAUACUAUUUGUCUUGAAUAUUGUGGAGGUAAGCGGAAUAUGUCAUGUAGCGGUGAAAUGCUUAGAUAUGACAUAGAACACCAAUUGCGAAGGCAGCUUACUACACAACGAUUGACGCUGAGGCACGAAAGCGUGGGGAUCAAACAGG
rnacentral:rRNA from 1 species